rnacentral:rRNA from 1 species
AUUGAACGCUGGCGGCAUGCUUUACACAUGCCAGUCGAACGGUAACAGGCCGCAAGGUGCUGACGAGUGGCGCACGGGUGAGUAAUGCAUCGGAACGUGCCCAGUCGUGGGGGAUAACUACUCGAAAGAGUAGCUAAUACCGCAUACGAUCUAUGGAUGAAAGCGGGGGACCGUAAGGCCUCGCGCGAUUGGAGCGGCCGAUGUCAGAUUAGGUAGUUGGUGGGGUAAAGGCUCACCAAGCCAACGAUCUGUAGCUGGUCUGAGAGGACAACCAGCCACACUGGGACUGAGACACGGCCCAGACUCCUACGGGAGGCAGCAGUGGGGAAUUUUGGACAAUGGGCGCAAGCCCGAUCCAGCAAUGCCGCGUGCAGGAAGAAGGCCUUCGGGUUGUAAACUGCUUUUGUACGGAACGAAACGGCUCUGGUUAAUACCCGGGGCUAAUGACGGUACCGUAAGAAUAAGCACCGGCUAACUACGUG